rnacentral:rRNA from 1 species
CCCUUAGAUGUUCUGGGCUGCACGCGCGCUACACUGAAGCGUUCAACGAGUAUUCACCUUGCCCGGGAGGGUUGGGUAAUCUUUUGAAAACGCUUCGUGAUGGGGAUAGAUUAUUGCAAUUAUUAAUCUUCAACGAGGAAUUCCUAGUAAGCGCGAGUCAUCAGCUCGUGCUGAUUACGUCCCUGCCCUUUGUACACACCGCCCGUCGCACCUACCGAUUGAAUGGUCCGGUGAAGCCUCCGGAUUGGCGCGCACCUCGGUGCCGCCGAGAAGUUGGCUAAACCUUACCAUUUAGAGGAAGGUGAANUCGUAACA